UACAUUUUAGUAUAAGAGGUACGGAAGUUUUUGAUAUUUCCAGGAGCAGUUUAAUUCUGCUAAAUGUAA
rnacentral:tRNA from 1 species